GGACGGAAAGCUUCUUUCAACAUCAGCAACAGUUAGUCAGACACCUCGGUAGCUAGCUAGACAAAAUAGCCGAACCAAUAAAGCUCUUUAGAUGCUUUCGUGAAUAUUAACCACUGUGUUUUAAACCCUCUUCUGUUGUCUAGUUAGUUAUCCGAUUUAAUUUCAUAUUUACGGUGUUGUUAUUGUUAUCAGCUAGCGGGCUGGUUAAGUUAGCAUUAGCAUAGCUAGCUAACAUUCCCGACCAUGAGCUCACUAAACUACUCUCGUCCUGCAAAAGAAGAGGACGUCUGCUGGACGGAGAAAGAGGGUCUGUGGCUAAACGUUGUCGUGAAAGAGGAGGAAGAGGAUGUCACAAUACAAAAACAAGUAGAGGGUGAGGAUGUUACAGUGAAAGAAGAAGAGAAAGACGUUUCAGUGAAAGAAGAGGAAGACGCUUUCAGAGUGAAAGAAGAGGAUGUUACAGUAAAAGAAGAGGAGGAAGAGAAAGAGGAGGAAGAGAAAGAGGAGGAAGACGUUUUUGGAGUGGAGGAGGGGGAGAUGACUGUCACAUUGGAAGAAGAAUAUGAAGAGGAGGACACUGGAUAUCUGGGCUCUGUUUCCCAAAGGCAUGUUAAGGCAUCCUAUGGUUCUAACGAUGAACGGGCCCUGGUUAACACUAGAGAGAGACGGGUCUAUCGUGGAACCUCUGGGGAGCCUCAACAACCUCAUGAUGCUGACGAGGCAGAGAAGAGUCUCUCCAGAUCAGAACACCUCAAGAAACACCAGCGAUCCACAGGGAAGAGAACUCACUGCUGCUCUGACUGUGGGAAGAGAUUCACCUCCUCAUCAGGCAUUAAAAUUCAUCAGAGAAUCCACACCGGAGAGAAAUCUUACGGCUGUGAUCAAUGUGGGAAGAGUUUUGUAAAAUAUAGACAUCUGAAGAUACACCAGAGAACACACACAGGAGAGAAAUCAUAUAGCUGUGAUCAAUGUGGGAAGAGUUUUACUCAGCUAAGCAGCCUGAUAUCACACCAGAGAACACACACAGGCGAGAAACCUUAUAGCUGUACUCAAUGUGGGAAGAGUUUUACUCAGCUAGGCAUCCUGAUAUCACACCAGAGAACUGUCGUGACGUUGCAUUAGUUAAUGUGACAACUGUUGCUCAUCGAAUGAUUAAAUGUUUCUAAUUGUGUGAUUAAAUGAAUCAAGCAUUAACCUGGGGGCACCAUGGGAAAAUUAGUUUUAUUGAGUUUCUAUUUCCCAAAUUAACUCAAAGAACAUCAGAAUAUCGAUUUUACAACAGUCGCUAAUGAAUCAGUUUCCUUCAUUCUGAACGUUGUAUAAUCCGGGAAUCUGCACGGACCCGGGUCUCACCAAUGAGUUCGUACCACACCAAUCUUAGUUGAGUAUUUAUUUACUAGAAAGCUAAAAUGAUGAUAAAAGAUACACAUACACCAAAAACACAUUCUAGGUUAUUGAUUAGAACCUAGUAUAACGGGCCAACACACUAUGGCGCGUGUUACCCAAAAUGGGGAUUUAAAAGAGAGAGAAAAAGAGAAAGUACACGAGAGAAAUAUACAUUUGGGUGCAUUUGUCAGCUGUGCUUAUUUUAACCCUAGCCUUGCCCCAAACUGCCGCUCUUAUGGGUCAGAAUAUAAUGAUGUAAUUACCUGUGGGGGGGUCUCAGAUGCGAAGCUCCACGUGGGUCGUUUAGGCUUCUCAAUGACGCACUUCUCCGGCGCAACUCUCUGGUCGUCCUCACGAUGUCAGUGUCCAUUUGGUCUGAUUCCUCGCCCUUGCUCUGGGAGGAGUCUUCUGAGGACAGACCGAUCUGUAGCUCAGGGCUCACAGCAUAGGAGUGAAACAGUGUAGAUACCACGAUUUGAUGGAGAGUGGAGGUUAGGUGGUCCGGCUUGAAUUCACCCGCUGAGACACAGCUACUCAUCAGUAGCAUGGGUAGAAAAAGAUGUCUUUGUCUUCAACCUUGGGUUGAGUUUUUGGUUCGUUGACUUUUUAGACCUUGGCUGCAGCUUGGGUCACUUAGUCUGAUCUGUUCAUUCUGCCUCACAGGUCUUAUACCCUCGGGUCAGAAGUGGGCGUAACCGCCUUUAGGGCUAUUCUCUGGGCGUACCAAGUCAAGAGGCAUGGUCUAGAUUUUACUCAAAUCCAAUUUUAGACAACUAACUUCACAUUUAGUCUUUACCAAAACAUUCUCUUUGAUUUGGACAUUUUCCACACAACGUCCAAUGUAUAAACAUCAAGAGUAUCCUAGGAAAACUCUUACAGUUACAAUGUUUUUGUGAUAACGUAAUCUAUUAACCUAUAAUAACAAAACAAAAAUGACAUAUUGUCAUGACCACCAUUGUGGCUGACGGAAAUCAUUGUUCCAAAGUCUUUUUAUUGCAUUUUUAAUGUUCUGAGGCUGGUUCUCCAUAGUGAGAGGACAAAGGAAUGUUGUCUGUGGCCUAAGAUUUACCAUCGGUGUGAGGGGUCAUAAAACCCCCACAUCUUCAGACCCCUAGAUCUCUCCUCCUCUGUUGGGGGUGAGAGAUAAACUGUAGGGUUGUGGUCUCCUGUAACCUGACCACACCAGAGAACACACACAGGAGCGAAAUCCUAUAGCUGUGAUCAAUGUGGGAAGAGUUUUGUUCAAUCUAGCCAUCUGAAGAUACACCAGAGAACACACACAGGAGAGAAACCUUUUUUGCUGUACUCAAUGUGGGAAGAGUUUUGUUCAAUCUGGUGAUCUGACAGUACACCAGAGAACACACACAGGAGAGAAAUCGUAUAGCUCUAAUCAAUGUGGUAAGAGUUUUGUUUCAUCUAUGGGUCUGACAGUACACCAGAGAACACACACAGAAUAGAAAUCGUAUAGCUCUAAUCUAUGUGGGAAGAGUUUUACUCAGUCAACCAGCCUGGUACAACAACAGAGAACACAUACAGGAGAGAAAUAUCUUAGCUGUGACCAGAGAUAAUCUGAUAAAAGAUCACAGAUCAAAUAUCAGAAAGUACAUACAUGAAGGAGUUGUUUCAUGAUAUCAAUGAAUUAAUGUCACAAUGUAAAAUAUUUUAACAUUGUAGAAGGAGUAUUUUAAUAAUGUCACAAUGUUGAAGCUUAAAUGUUUGCCCCUUUAUCAAUUGAUUUCAACAUGAUAUGGAUAUUAGCCUCAGGGGAAAAUCCAGACUCUGAUUUGAUAGUUGUGUUGUGUUACACUUACCACGUUGGUGACCCACUGGAAUCAAAAUGUAACACUUCAAAAUGUAGCUAGCGGUUUUCUACAAAUUGUCCUCCAACCAGUGAUAUUUACAUUAUUCCCAAAUUCCGUGUGGUUUUUGAGCUGUUAGUUUUAACAGGACGUGCAACCUCAUCUCCCUCCUUUUGCACAGUUGAUUUCAAUAUGAUAUCGAUGAGUGAUGACAAAUAAGUGUUGUGUUCCUUUGUUUAGUGAUCCCUAAAUUGAAAUGCAUCACACCAAAAUGUAGCUGACUGUCUUCUGCAGGUUCUCCUCUAACCAGUGAGGUUAAAGAUAUCUCCCAUUUCCAUGUGUUUAUUUUAGUUGUGUUAGUUUCAAGAACACAUAAAACCUAAUCGAAAUCAUGGAUUUAUUGCUACUUGUCAAAGCAACAGUGUUUUUGGUGCUUGUGCAGUUUAUACGGUGCUUGUUUAAAAAAAUACAAGUAAUAUGAUUAUUGUGGCAGAUGUUUGUGUACAUAGUACAUUUUAUGUUUAAGUUUUCAAUUUAUCCCAAACUGUUUCUGCAUAUUGGUUAUUGAUUUGGACACGUUAACACUGUGUUUUGACAUUGCGCUAUCCCACCUAGCAAAAUGUAAUUGAAAAAGUGUUGAAAAGAAGACUAUGCCCGACGUCCAAUAUACGUUCGGUUGAAAAUAUGUAUUUUCUGGUAGUUUUUUCAGUGACUUGAAAAUAAUUUCAAUUUACUUGCAGGUAGCCUAGUGGUUAGAGCGUUGGGCCGUCAUUGUAAGCCAGAAGUUGUUCUUAACUGACUUAUUUACAAUGAUGAUCUACCGGGGAACAGUGGGUUAACUGCCUUGUUCAGGUGCAGAAUGACAGAUUUUUACCUUGUCAGCUCGGGAUUCAAUCCAGCAACCUUUCGGUUCCUGUUAAAUGAAGGUUAAAAUAAAUAAAUAAAUACACAUGGAUGCAGUAUAAUAAAUUGGUCUAUAAUCAAUUUUAUUAACCAUCCUUCAUCAUUCAUGUAUUUCUUGACAACAUUCAAGUGCUAAUUGUCUUAAUUCCACUACUGAAGAAGCAUGACUCAAAUCACCUACUCAUAUUUCAAACAUUCAGCCUGACAAAAGAUACAUGUUUUAUUAAUCAAUGCCUCACCAUUAAGUUAAUUAUUGCCAACACAUUAACAAAGGGGUGUAUAUUUGGUUUUGAUAAUUAAUAUUUACAGUUCAUGUAACAUUUAGUAAUUAUUUGUGCAACCAACUGACAAUUUUUGGGUACAAUUAUAUUGACAUUGUUGCCCUGCUUUUAGAAUAUCAGGGUUCAUUCUCAGAUGUACCAACCCAAAUGUACUAGAGCAUGACAUUGGGGACUGGGCCCAGAUCCAACAACAUGUCUAUCCAGUGAAUCCUAAAAAAAGAGAGAGAGAAGCUCUGCAGUGAUGUGGAAAGUUACUACCGAUAUUGCAGGAGUUUCCUCUUGAAAUCAGACAUGUCUGUGGUAAGGACUACUUGGUUGCUGAUUGUCUCAAGGGUGGGCAGUUAAAAAUAUUUGUGUUAUGCGUUUAGCCAGUGGGUUGCCAUGGAUCACAAUUUUGACUGCAUGUUUUUCUGUAUUGGAGAUGAGUUUUGUUUGGGCUCGUUCCAAGGGGACGAGAGUUACAGAAGCUAGUGAGUUUUAGGAAGAGGAGAGUUCUGGAAGCUAGUGAGUUUUAGGAAGAGGAGAGUUCUUCAUGUUUUUAAUUUUUGACAGCCAGUUCAUAGUUGAUUAUAAUGUGAAAUAGAAAAAUAUAGGAUAUAUUUGUUGUCCUAAGGGGGAAGGUGUUACAGGCUUUGGUUUUUAGCACGUAGGACGCACAGAUUGGUGUCACCUCGUUAGUCAGUAUGUGUUACACCUGUGCUGGCUUGUCCAUCUCGUUAGUGGGAAGGUGUUUCACCUGAGCUGGUCCAGGUUCUAUUUAAGAGUGUCUGGCCCAGUGCUCCAGUUGUCUUGAUAGAUGUGGAGAGUCAACACCUUUUUGGUUUUCUUCCUGUCUUUAAGUUUGUUGUGGGUUUUUCUUUUGUUUGACUCUUCUUGGGCAGAUUUGGUGGGUGUCUUUUAUGUCCCAGUUGUUGUUACUAGUUAACUUUCAGUGUACACCCCCAUAGUGUAUUUCAGAACCCCUCCUAAAACCACACCUGUAGUUUUGGUUGUUGUCAAUGACUCUUUGUUAGAUCCCUCUUCUAUGUAAAGGACAUUUUUGGUUUUCUUUCUGAGAAACACAAACAAUGGAGUAAAACAAGCUUCAAGAUUGCAUCCAAUUCUUACUAUUUUAAUUGAUGGUAUUUCCAUAGAAUGCUCAGUCUUUCAGUUGUUAAUCUUGUUUUUUUUUUAUCCACUUAUGUUUGAUUGGUAAAUAAUUGUUUAUUUUCAUUUUUUCCUGUGAAGCCAUUGCAUUGCAUCCAUGUCUGAACUGUGCUGUAUAAAUAAAGCUUGUUUUGAUAACAUAUUACCAAAAACACCACCCCCGGCUCUACCAGGGGCUUGAGGUGGUCUCCCACAGCUCUGCUUAUGUUAUGUGGCCUUGCUAAUCCAUGUCUUGACUGCCCCUGCAACACAAAAAGAAACACAUUCAGUCAUAUUAUAUAAAACACUCAAAGUAAUGGAUAUGGAGCAUCUAUGGCCUACAUCUACACCUGGCACCUAAAUGUGACUUCUGUCAUCCGAUCACUCUAAGCUGCAUUAGGUUCAGAUCUACCAGGAUGGGCCUAUGACAGUCUGGAUGCAGUCAGGCCACUGAAUAGAAAUAUUCAAUGUAAAGAGAUGGGGUGAAAAGUACACUUGACACAAAUUACCUUCAUAAUAUCAAAGAACAAAUGUUUGUGUCUGAGGGGAAAUUAACUUUCAUACAGCCAAAAGGGGUGAGAAAUUACACCAAUAUCAGUGAAUAACUUGCACUAAUGUAAAUAAACAUAGAUGAUGGAACAUAUUCCCUUUUGCUGACGUGAUGAACCGCUAAGGGGACAUACAGUAUAUCACAAAAGUGAGUACACCCCUCACAUUUUUGUAAAUAUUUGAGUAUAUCUUUUCAUGUGACAACACUGAAGAAAUUACACAUUGCUACAAUGUAAAGUAGUGAGUGUACAGCUUGUAUAACAGUGUAAAUUUGCUGUCCCCUCAAAAUAACUCAACACACAGCCAUUAAUGUCUCAAUCGCUCAAUCCCACCCUCACUGGGUCUUCAGAGGAAAGGAAGGCUGAGGGGGGAUGGAAGGAUGAAUGGAUCAGUCAGUCAAUAAAGUGUAGAGCUGCUGUCUAUGUUGUCUGACAAAAUCACUAUUUUAGUAGUUUAUUAAAGUAAAUUAGACUUUAUGACCGCUGAAUACCAACGAUCAAUCACUUAGAUCAUGUAUUUUCAGGUAGAGAUACAUCCUUGGGACGUCCCUAGCCCGUCUAAAUUGACAUUUUAAAAUGGUUAAGGUAGGGGAUAGGGUAGGGAUGUCCCAAGGAUCCCGGAUAGCAUUGACCGUUGUGCAUUCUUCUGUAUCUUUUACAUAGCAGGUGAUGGGUUCUGACUUCUGAAAUUGAAAAUAUUAAAUAUCGUUAUUCAUGUCACUGUUUGAGAGAGGGGAAUGUAGAAUGUUUACAUUCUGUCAAAAUGUCUGUAAAUAUCAGUAAGGAGGAGACUUAGCAUAAAGGGUUAAAUACCAGCGCUUGUGUCUUGGUCUUAUGCAGCUGUGACUCAGUGGGUGAAUAAACUUGGUUUGAGCUUUA